rnacentral:rRNA from 1 species
UCAAGAAACUUCCACAAUGGGCGAAAGCCUGAUGGAGCGACGUCGCGUGAUGGACGAAGUGCUUCGGCACGUAAACAUCUUUUAUGUGGGAUGAAAUUAUUGACAGUACCACAUGAAUAAGGGGCUCCUAACUCUGUGCCAGCAGGAGCGGUAAUACAGAGGCCCCAAGCGUUAUCCGGAAUCACUGGGCGUAAAGGGUGUCGAGGCGGUUGUAUUAGUCGUUCGUAAAAUCUACGAGCUUAACUUGUAGGCGGCGAACGAAACGGUACGACUUGAGGUUUGGAGAGGUGCGUGGAACUCACGGUGUAGGGGUGAAAUCCGUUGAUAUCUUUGGGAACACCAAAAGCGAAGGCAGCACACUGGGCCAUUCCUGACACUGAAAAAUGAAACCCUGGGUAGCGAAUGGGAUUAGAUACCCAAGUAGUCCCUGAGCGGGCUGGCAAGGCGCAU